rnacentral:tRNA from 1 species
GGAGGGUGUAGCUCAGUGGUAGAGUGCGUGCUUAGCAUGCACGAGGUCCUGGGUUCAAUCCCCAGUAACUCCA